AUGCCAGGCCCACCAAGAGAGGGAGGUCAUAUGCCCCCUCUUGAUGUGCACCAGAUAGGUAUGACAGACUAUGUGAGGAAAUUGACGGAAUUGUCUGCAGCUCUCUCCAAACAGAUACACCGUGUCCAAGAGGGGGAGCUGUCGGGAGAGCCGGAACCACCAAGGGUAAAAGUUGGUGACUGGGUAAGGAUCAAGGUCCACAAGAGAAAGUGGCAGGAUCCCAGGUGGACUGGACCGUACGAAGUGAAGGAGGUUACUUCACACUCAGUCCAGGUCAAAGGAAAUCUCACAUGGCUGGUGCAACAACCCACCAACCACAGGAUCCACAAACGCUCCACUGACUACACUGACAAACCAUGCACUCCAACACAGCAAUCACGGUGAAGGACAACAUUUCAUCUCCUGAGGCAGCGCCUAGGAAGGAUGGAGCAUGGGGUCCGGUUUGGCUACCUCCCCGCCAACUGUGGAUGAUACCAUCCAGAUAGCUACCGGUAUCUCCGGGUCCUCUACCAACUGGCUCCUGUUGGCUGAGGAANNNNNNNNNNNNNNNNNNNNCCAUAUACCAUUCUUGGAGAAACAUGAUAAAAUCAUUCAAUAUUUGGAUAAAUGUUAUGUCCUUUGCCAUAUGAAAAUAGUUCAGUAUCAUUUGUGAGUUAAGAGUUGAUCACAAAGCCAGUAUGUCACAUACCAUCUGAAAUCAAGGCUGCAGACUCAGCCAUGCUAGUAGUUUAACCUGGGGAGAGAGAAAGAUACAUUUUCUUCAUCCUCUUUAGCUGUGCUACCAGGACUAUUCAACACGGCCCUCAAGUACUGCAGUCAUCUGCAGUUUCACAAAGGCUACUCUGUCAGCAUGCAUAGCUCAACAUUGUUAAAACAUGGGAAACUGUCCAAAAGCCUUCCGUGUUAAAUUAGGCUAUUUCCUUACCGUAGUCCCAGGAUGUGAGAUUUGGAAGCUAAAUCGUGUCUGUCUAUGGAUAUCUCCUUGAAUGUAAAUCUGUUAUGCAAUGAAACAGUACACCGUCUGUGACUGUAUCCAAAAUGGCUGCUUAAGUAGUGUUUCUUUUUCUCCAGUCAUUUGUUUCUGUUGCCCCUCCCCGUUCAGAAGUUCAGAUGCAGGGUGUGUAAAUCGAGAUAAAGGCUGACUGCUGAAAAGCUGAAGUCAGCCAACCAGUUUUGGAGUAUGCCGUUGAAAUGAUGCUAAGAUUUGCCUUCCCCCCUCUUUUGGACAUGAUCUUACUGUCAGUAAGCUCAUUGUCAAAUAAAAUAAAAUAAAAUAAAAUGUUAUUCGUCACAUGCUCCGAAUACAAGAGGUGUAGACCUUACAGCAAUAUGCUUACGUACAAGCCCUUAACCAACAAUGCAGUUCAAUAAAUAGAGUAUUUAGUAAAUUAACUAAAGUAAAACAUUUUUUAAAUAACACAAGAAAAUUACAUAACAAUAACGAGGCUAUAUACAGGGGGUACCGGUACCGAGUCAAUGUACCUGGGUACAGGUUAGUCGAGGUAAUUUGUAAAGUCACUUUGCAUAGAUAAUUAACAGCAAGUAGCAGCAGUGUAAAAACAAAGCCUGGGGGGUCAAUGUAAAUAGCCCAUGUGGCCAUUUGAUUAAUUGUUCAGCAA
rnacentral:lncRNA from 8 species